rnacentral:rRNA from 1 species
UACGGAGGAUCCGAGCGUUAUCCGGAUUUAUUGGGUUUAAAGGGAGCGUAGGCGGGUUGUUUAAGUCAGUUGUGAAAGUUUUGCGGCUCAACCGUAAAAUUGCAGUUGAUACUGGCAUCCUUGAGUACAGUAGAGGUAGGCGGAAUUCGUGGUGUGCGGUGAAAUGCUUAGAUAUCACGAAGAACUCCGAUUGCGAAGGCAGCCUGCUGGACUGUAACUGACGCUGAUGC